rnacentral:lncRNA from 1 species
GUGAGGUCAGCAGCCUCCAGCCCCCACGGGAGCAGCCUCUGGCAGGGAGGGGAGGGCAGGCGGAGGCCUCCGUCCCUCCUGAGCCCCUCACACUUCCUCCAGCCCCAGCCCUGGGAUCCCAAGGGAGAAUCCAGCUGGCAUCCAGUUAUGACAUAUCUCGAAUACCCAAGCACGAUCUUCCACCCCCUGCCGCUGCCCGGGUACCGCUCCCGCACCGCGCCCAGACGGACGGACAGACACACGGCUCAGCAUGUCCGACAGCCCCAGCCCAGGAGGGACCCCUGAAGAGGGGGCCCCCGAUGAACCCCAGGGGCAGCCCCCCUGCGCCAAGCUCAAAGCAGCUGUGGAGAAAUGGCAACACUGCCUCUCACUAAACUAUGAUUAUUAUAAUGUAUUAGGUGUAUUAUGGUAGCACCUAGGAGUCCCAGUCAUGGCCCCCAUGGUGCUGGGCACUGUACAUUAUUUAUUAGGGGUAUUACGGUAGUGCCUAAAAGCUCCAGUCAUGGUCCAGGACCCCACUGUGCUAGGCACUGUACAUUAUUUAUUAGG